CGACCGUGGUUAGGAAGCGGAGACUGGGGCAGAAGGUGUGAGGGGGAAGAAGUAACCGUCGGUCCCAAAGAGUGCACAGAUGCUCUGUGCGGGGUCGUGAAACUGGGUCACUUCUGCUACUUCCUCACCAUAUGUGUGACAGAACAACAUGCAUCUUAGGCCUUAGCUUGCUGUGAUUCAGAACUGGGAAGAUUCUCAUCACCGGGCACUUUAGCCUGGACGUUGCACCAAAGAAAAAGCUUUGAACUGUUACUGAAGCUUAUUCUAACCUUGCUGGGAUGAAAAGGAAGGUGGGCACUCGGGAUAUUAAAGGCCUGACUUUCAAAUGUCCCCACAUCUGAUCAAAUAACUGAACACUUGUGGUAAUGGAAGAUCAUUUGUUCCUUGCUAGAAAGGGGAAUAAAAAGAGUAGAAUCA